ACUCCUGUAGCCCAAUGGGAAGAGGCGCUGGUUUCAAACUCCAGAGGUUGUGGGUUCGACUCCCACCAGGAGUA
rnacentral:tRNA from 1 species